AAAACGACUCUCGGCAACGGAUAUCUCGGCUCUCGCAUCGAUGAAGAACGUAGCGAAAUGCGAUACUUGGUGUGAAUUGCAGAAUCCCGUGAACCAUCGAGUCUUUGAACGCAAGUUGCGCCCGAAGCCUUCAGGCCGAGGGCACGCCUGCCUGGGCGUCACACGCC
rnacentral:rRNA from 1 species